UGCAUUCGUUCAAAUUGAGAACAUUUCCAUUUUUCAUUUUAAAUUAUUUUUUAAAAUAUAAACUUGCUUGCAUUUUUCAAAACUUUUUAAAUUUUGAAGUGAUAAAAUUCUUCUAAAUUAUAUGGAACGAUGAAAUAAGCAGAAGAUUUGGAGAAAUCCUGGACUACCAUAAAAAAAGUUUCAUUGUUAUGGAACAUUUAUCAGUUAUUAUUUGCAGAUUAUCAUUGGAAUUGACAAACUUCAAGGAUAAGCUGAAUAAGGAGAAAAUAGGAAAUCCUACUUAUUAUUUAUUUUACUGGUAAGUUGAUAAUAACUACUUAAAAAAUAUAGAGUAAGGCUGUGCCAACCCUCAAAUUUUGUUCUGAUAUUACUACAAAGCCUAUACAAUACUGAUCCAAAAUUUAUAUUGAUUUUAUUUACCAUCUAUAUUUGAAUAAAUCCCACAAAAUAUUUUACUAUUCAUAAAAAAUUAUAAGUGUAUUUUGUUUCUUUAUUCUCAAAAAGUUAAUUUUAAAAUAUUUGAAAUGUUAAUUUUCAUGUGAAACUUUAAGUACUAAAUGCUAAUACGUUAAUAAAUUUUGGAAGAAAAGCCAUCUGGGAUGCAGUAAAGCUAAUUUUUAUAUUUUAUUUAGACUUUUUAUAAAUAGCCUUGUAGAGUCUAUACAACCAAGUGCUGUUUAAAACUGAGGUUUUAAAAUUUCUACACUAUCUGAAGACAAAUGGUACCUUACCAACACUUACAAAUGAA